rnacentral:tRNA from 1 species
AGGGGUGUAGUUAAAUGGUAUAGCAACGGUCUCCAAAACCGUUAUUGUGGGUUCGAUUCCUGCCACCCCUGCCA